ensembl:lincRNA
CUUCAGUGCAGCGUCAGGACAGCAGCUCCAGGCCUCAGAACACAACAUCUUGUUCCUGACCAGAAUGGAGAAAGUCACUUACUGUGAGACGUGUGAUGCUGCAGACGGGCCUCGAGGAGGAGUGUGUGAGCACUCUUUAGCUGCAGCUUUGAGACCAGGAGUCAUCAUGCAUUUCUCUGAUGUGCUCUUUAUUUGGAUUGUGGCAUUGGGAACAUCUGAACUGAGCUCUGCAGGACCUCUUCAUGCACAGUGCAAAGUCGAGUGGUACUUCAGUCUGCCUUGCAGGAGUGUGUCUGAAUCUCUGGUCACACAGAUCAAGAAGUGGAGAACAUUCUCAACGUGCGCCACAGGAGGAGAGAAAUGUCUCUACAAGUUGCAGUCAGCAUCGACGCACUUCAUUUCCGCCAAACACACAACGCCAGUGAAGAAAUAUGUUGAUGACAUCAACUUCAGACUCACCUCCUAUGGGUUUUUUACACACUGUCAUGUAUCUGCCAUGUCAGUGUCAGAGACCUGGUAUGCCAUCACUGAUCACGGCACUAACUACUGUAACCUUUACAAUUUGAUUGAAGGAAGUGGAUUGACUGAAGCUCCAGGAUAUAAAGAAAUCACCAGUGACUUCCUGUGCACUCAGCGCUCAUCUGCUAACUGUACCAUUUACUGAGACAUCUUUAUAUAUAUUUUAAAAUCAUUUCUGGAUGUUUGUACCUGUAGUCUAGUAGAAUUAGAAAUAAGGUCAUGACAAUAGUCAUACAAUUGAAAAUAAAAGUACUUUUAAUCAACCUACGGUUUGUAAAAAUAAAAUGAGUCUGUUCUAAAUGUGCUUUACUGUACAUGUACACACAUAAAGCAUUCGUUGCAUUAUUCAUUUAUAUUCCUUAGCUUAGUCCCUUUGUUAAUCUGGGGUCGCCACAGUGGAAUGAACCGCCAACUUAUCCAGCAUAUUUCUUAUACAGCGGCUGCCCUGCAGCUGCAACCUAGUACUUGGAAACCCCCCAUACACACUCAUCCACACACAUACAGUACGGCCAAUUUAGUUUAUUCAAUUCACCUAUAGCGCAUGUCUUUGAGCUGUGGGGGAAACUGGAGGAAACCCAUGGUGACACGGGGAGAUUUGUUGCAUUAAUAUUGCAUAUAUACAUUUUUUUACAGUACAUUUAAUUAAAUAAAUGUGUCUUUGGUAAACGCAAGACUCUGAUUAAUAAGAUGACAAAUAUUUACCUGUUGAAGAGUUGUGUUUAUUUGUGUUAUUUUAGUAGAACACGUCUACUUUUUAUUUUAAUGUUGUAGCAAAGAUUGUGGAGCAAAUCUAUAACUGACAAUGAACAAACUGUUUAUUAACUAUAAAAAGAUUAAUGAAUACUGUAACAAAUGUGUUAUUAUCAAUGUUAAUAUGUUAGUUAAUGAUGGGUAAUGAUGGUAAUUGAUAAAUAUUAAAUAAAAUAUACGAAAUCCUGGAUUUCACUGUCAAAUUAUUUUAAUAAAAAUUUUAAAUUUUACUUAAAAAAAAUAUUAUCUUGGUGAUAUAAACAAACAUUAUAUGAUACAAUUACUCCUCUUAAUCUUUUAAUUUGUCACAUCCUUCAAUAGAAAAUACAGGAAACUGCCCUCGUCUUAUUUGAGUAUUUAAUCGUCUUCCUUUAUUUACUUACAGUACUGAACUUAUAAUGGCUCAUGAAUCAAAGUAUCUUCCAAUGUUUCCCCUUUUGUACCACUCCAGAAGACUAGACUUUUGUGCUUUUGCUCUAUAUUUUUCUCCUCAUUCAGUUCGGAUGACUGUGACAUUUCAUAUGCUGUUCUUAGCACAAUGUUUGGAGACAAAUAUAGCAGUUCUCAGUGGUGUUAUGCACGGACAUUGUUCUCUCUAAGGGCAGCAAUAUGCUCGGAAGGGUGAAGACAUCCAUCAUGGUUGUCUUUUAC